rnacentral:rRNA from 1 species
UACGGAGGAUGCGAGCGUUAUCCGGAUUUAUUGGGUUUAAAGGGUGCGUAGGCGGAGUGCCAAGUCAGCGAUAAAAAUUCGGGGCUCAACCCCGUCGUGCCGUUGAAACUGGCGCCCUUGAGUGGGCGAGAAGUAUGCGGAAUGCGUGGUGUAGCGGUGAAAUGCAUAGAUAUCACGCAGAACCCCGAUUGCGAAGGCAGCAUACCGGCGCCCGACUGACGCUGAAGCACGAAAGCGUGGGUAUCGAACAGG